CCAUAUGCUUGUCUCAAAGAUUAAGCCAUGCAGGUCUCAGUACGGCCUCUAGCGAAAAGGCGAAACCGCGAAUGGCUCAUUAAAUCAGUUAUGGUUCCUUAGAGCUUACGUUGUCUUACUUGGAUAACCGUGGUAAUUCUAGAGCUAAUACAUGCACCGAAGCUCCGACCCGCUCGCGGGAACGAGCGCUUUUAUUAGACCGCAACGACCGUAUCCGCCGCGCCCGUUUUCCUUCGGGUUUAAGGGGGCGCGGACGUGUUUGCGUGGUGACUCUGGAUAACUCUGCCGAUCGGCCGCUGCGAGCCCUUCGCGGGGUCAACUCGUGUUAGCGGCCGACGCACCUUUCAAGUGUCUGCCUUAUCAACUGUCGACGGUAGGUUAAAUGCCUACCGUGGUAGUAACGGGUGACGGGGAAUCAGGGUUCGAUUCCGGAGAGGAAGCCUGAGAAACGGCUACCACAUCCAAGGAAGGCAGCAGGCUCGCAAAUUACCCACUCCCGGCACGGGGAGGUAGUGACGAAAAAUAACGAUGCGGGACUCGGUCGAGACCCCGCCAUCGGAAUGAGUACACUCUAAAUCCUUUAACGAGGAUCCACCGGAGGGCAAGUCUGGUGCCAGCAGCUGCGGUAAUUCCAGCUCCGGUAGCAUAUGCUAAAGUUGCUGCGGUUAAAAAGCUCGUAGUUGGAUCUCAGUCUCGGCCGCUCGGUCUCGCCCGUGUUGGCGGGUCUCGUUGGCGGCCGGUCAGAAUGUCGGCCGCCCGGGAUGAUCUUGACCGGUUGUCUCGGAACGGCCGGCGAGUUUACUUUGAAAAAAUCAGAGUGCUCAGAGCGGGCGUUAUCCGCCCGGACGCCCGUGCAUGGAAUAAUGGAAGAGGACCUCGGUUCCACGUCUGUUGGUCCGCGAACCCUGAGGUAAUGAUUAAGAGGAACGGCCGGGGGCGAUCGUACCGCGACGCUAGAGGUGAAAUUCUUGGACCGUCGCGUGACGCACCACAGCGAAAGCAUUCGUCAAGAACGCUUCCGUUAAUCAAGAACGAAAGUCAGAGGUUCGAAGGCGAUCAGAUACCGCCCUAGUUCUGACCAUAAACGAUGCCGACCAGCGAUCGGGCUGCGCUCGCCACGACGAGGCGCCCGGAAGCUUUCCGGGAAACCAGAGUCUCUGGGUUCCGGGGGAAGUAUGGUUGCAAAGCUGAAACUUAAAGGAAUUGACGGAAGGGCACCACCAGAAGUGGAGCCUGCGGCUUAAUUUGACUCAACACGGGAAAACUCACCCGGCCCGGACACGGGAAGGAUUGACAGACUGAUUGCUCUUUCUUGAUUCUGUGGGUGGUGGUGCAUGGCCGUUCUUAUUAGAUGUCCGGGGCCGCACGCGCGCUACACUGACGCCCACAGCGUGCGCGCUCGCCCGGUCCGACAGGAUCGGGGAACCCCUUCAACGGACGUCGUGAUGGGGACAGGGGAUUGGAAUUGUUCCCCUCGAACGAGGAACUCCCAGUAAGCGCGAGUCACUAGCUCGCGUUGAUUACGUCCCUGCCCUUUGUACACACCGCCCGUCGCUACUACCGAUUGAACGGUUCGGUGAGGUCCUCGGACUGGCUUACGCUGGCGGGACCCUUCGCGCUUCUCUUCGGGGGGGCGCGAAUUCCCGAUGCGGUAGCCGGAAAGUCGAUCGAACCGUAUCGUUUAGAGGAAGUAAAAGUCGUAACAAGGUUUCC
rnacentral:rRNA from 1 species